GAUGAACGCUAGCGAUAGGCCUAACACAUGCAAGUCGAGGGGCAUCACAUGAAGUAGCAAUACGGAUGGUGGCGACCGGCGCACGGGUGAGUAACACGUAUGCAACCUGCCUUCAACAAGGGGAUAACCCGUUGAAAGACGGACUAAUACCCUAUAACACAGGGGUCCCGCAUGGGAAUAUUUGUUAAAGGACAACCGGUUGAAGAUGGGCAUGCGUUCCAUUAGCUAGUUGGCGGGGUAACGGCCCACCAAGGCAACGAUGGAUAGGGGAACUGAGAGGUUUAUCCCCCACACUGGUACUGAGACACGGACCAGACUCCUACGGGAGGCAGCAGUGAGGAAUAUUGGUCAAUGGACGCAAGUCUGAACCAGCCACGUCGCGUGAAGGAAGACGGCCCUACGGGUUGUAAACUUCUUUUAUACGGGAAUAAAGUGCCCCACGCGUGGGGUUUUGCAAGUACCGUACGAAUAAGGAUCGGCUAACUCCGUG
rnacentral:rRNA from 1 species